rnacentral:rRNA from 1 species
GAUGAACGCUGGCGGCGUGCCUAAUACAUGCAAGUCGAGCGAACGGACGAGAAGCUUGCUUCUCUGAUGUUAGCGGCGGACGGGUGAGUAACACGUGGAUAACCUACUUAUAAGACUGGGUUAACUUCGGGAAACCGGAGCUGAUACCGGGUAAUAUUUUGAACCGCAUGGUUCAAGAGUGAAAGACGGUCUUGCUGUCACUUAUAGAUGGAUCCGCGCUGCAUUAGCUAGUUGGUAAGGUAACGGCUUACCAAGGCAACGAUGCAUAGCCGACCUGAGAGGGUGAUCGGCCACACUGGAAGUGAGACACGGUCCAGACGACUACGGGAGGCAGCAGUAGGGAAUCUUCCGCAAUGGGCGAAAGCCUGACGGAGCAGCGCCGCGGGAGUGAUGAAGGUCUUCGGAUCGUAAAACUCUGUUAUUAGGGAAGAACAUAUGUGUAAGUAACUGUGCACAUCUUGACGGUACCUAAUCAGAAAGCCACGGCUAACUACGUG